rnacentral:rRNA from 1 species
AUUCCAGCUCCAAUAGCGUAUAUUAAAGUUGUUGCAGUUAAAAAGCUCGUAGUUGGAUUUCUGGCGUGAGGUGCUUGACCCGCCGCGGUUACGCGUGUGAGUGUCGGUGUGCCUCGGCCAUCCUUCUAGAAAUUGGCUCUGCCCUUCAUUGGGUUGGGGUCAGGAUCUAGAUCUUUUACUUUGAAAAAAUUAGAGUGUUUAAAGCAAGCGUUGCGUGAAUACAUUAGCAUGGAAUAAUAACUUAGGACUUCGGUUCUAUUUUGUUGGUUUCUAGGACUGAAGUAAUGAUUGAUAGGGAUAGUUGGGGGUGCUAGUAUUCAGCGGCCAGAGGUGAAAUUCUUGGAUUCGCUGAAGACUAACUUAUGCGAAAGCAUUCACCAAGGAUGUCUUCAUUA